rnacentral:rRNA from 1 species
CAUCCUCCAAGGCUAAAUACUCCUGACUGACCGAUAGUGAACCAGUACCGUGAGGGAAAGGCGAAAAGAACCCCGGCGAGGGGAGUGAAAAAGAACCUGAAACCGUGUACGUACAAGCAGUGGGAGCACAGGUUUACCUGUGUGACUGCGUACCUUUUGUAUAAUGGGUCAGCGACUUAUAUUCUGUAGCAAGGUUAACCGUAUAGGGGAGCCGUAGGGAAACCGAGUCUUAACCGGGCGUUAAGUUGCAGGGUAUAGACCCGAAACCCGGUGAUCUAGCCAUGGGCAGGUUGAAGGUUGGGUAACACUAACUGGAGGACCGAACCGACUAAUGUUGAAAAAUUAGCGGAUGACCUGUGGCUGGGGGUGAAAGGCCAAUCAAACCGGGAGAUAGCUGGUUCUCCCCGAAAGCUAUUUAGGUAGCGCCUCGUGAAUUCAUCUCCGGGGGUAGAGCACUGUUUCGGCUAGGGGGCCAUCCCGGCUUACCAACCCGAUGCAAACUGCGAAUACCGGAGAAUGUUAUCACGGGAGACACACGGCGGGUGCUAACGUCCGUCGUGAAGAGGGAAACAACCCAGACCGCCAGCUAAGGUCCCAAAGUCAUGGUUAAGUGGGAAACGAUGUGGGAAGGCCCAGACAGCCAGGAUGUUGGCUUAGAAGCAGCCAUCAUUUAAAGAAAGCGUAAUAGCUCACUGGUCGAGUCGGCCUGCGCGGAAGAUGUAACGGGGCUAAACCAUGCACCGAAGCUGCGGCAGCGACGCUGAUGCGUUGUUGGGUAGGGGAGCGUUCUGUAAGCCUGCGAAGGUGACCUGUGAGGGUUGCUGGAGGUAUCAGAAGUGCGAAUGCUGACAUAAGUAACGAUAAAGCGGGUGAAAAGCCCGCUCGCCGGAAGACCAAGGGUUCCUGUCCAACGUUAAUCGGGGCAGGGUGAGUCGACCCCUAAGGC